GGCAAUGCUACGGCUAUGGCUACGCUACAGCCAAGACUACGUUGACGCUCCGCUACGUCUACGCUGGGCAACUUCUGUGCAUUCGUCUCCAGCGGCUCCAGAGCGAAGCUGCUAUCAAACGUUAAGCGACUGUUGAAGCGCUGAACGUUUGGACCUCAUGGAUCUCUGUUGUUUACUUUCUGUUGUGCCUCCAAACUUUAGAAAGCCAUCAGGAGAAUGAAUUAUACGGCCUCCACAGCCAUAUGGUGUGUGUGUGUGUGUGUGGGUUGGGUGUGUGUGCAUGCGCACGUGCGUGCGUGUGCGUGUGUUUGUGCCUGUGUGCGUAUGUGGUGACCAAUGAGCUCCGCUCGAGAGCCAAGUUGAAGGGUGGAGAGAUGGUCAAGAGAGCCGCUCGUUCUGCUCCUGGUUCAGUGUUCUGGAGUCCUACCGCCCACGGUUCUACAGCAGCUGAUCCAGAGCUAAAGUCCUACCGCCCACGGUUCUACAGCAGCUGAUCCAGAGCUAAAGUCCUACCGCCCACGGUCCUACAGCAGCUGAUCCAGAGCGGCAGUCCUACCGGCCCACGGUCCUACAGCAGCUGAUCCAGAGCUGAAGUCCUACCGCCCCACGGUCCUACAGCAGCUGAUCCAGAGCUGAAGUCCUACCGGCCCACGGUCCUACAGCAGCUGAUCCAGAGCGGCAGUCCUACCGGCCCACGGUCCUACAGCAGCUGAUCAAGAGCUGAAGUCCUACCGCCCCACGGUCCUACAGCAGCUGAUCCAGAGCUGAAGUCCUACCGGCCCACGGUCCUACAGCAGCUGAUCCAGAGCUGAAGUCCUACCGCCCACGGUCUUACAGCAGCUGAUCCAGAGCUGAAGUCCUACCGGCCCACACGCCUUACAGCAGCUGAUCCAGAGCCAGCGGCCACGCCCGGUCUGCCUCACAUCAGCCGGCGUCAACAAGUGAAGGUUGUCGCCAGAGGGACACUUCCACUAUGUGACAGAAGUGAAAGAUAAUUAGAUUUAGUGUUUAGUUAAGCGACCUCUGUCAGACCUGUAGCGGGGUGCUUGACCGCCGAGCGACGCGCUGACUGCAGAUGAGUCCUGCCCUAAUGCACAUUCCUCAGGAACCGCUUAUUCCAGCGUUUAGUCUGGCAAUAUUCUCCUGUUAAAUGUGUUUAUCUGCAGGUCUAACGUUAUAAUAACCUUUCACAAGCUCUUUUACUGAAGGCAAUGUCUGAGACAUUUUGAUCUGGGCCAUGUGACUUGCAUAUUUAUCGGUGUCAAAGAAUCAUAAGAGGUUUAUGAUCUGUAGUCCGUCCGUCCGUCCGUCCGUCCGUCCGUCCGUCUUUGAUUGUGUGUGUGUGUGUGUUUGCGCUGCUUAUCCACUAUAACCCGAUGUGUAAAUGCAGUGAAGGUUUACAGUGUGGCAUGUGGGUUCAGCUAUGCUCAGACAGGGCUGUUAUUUAAAGAAGUGUUAAUAUCACGUAAAGCCAAACAAAAAGUCUAAUCUCCCCACAGGGUUGAUUUAGGUUGGCUGCUUAAAAAGCAGUUGGCUGGAG
ensembl:lncRNA